rnacentral:rRNA from 1 species
GAUGAACGCUGGCGGCGUGCCUAAUACAUGCAAGUCGAGCGAACAGACGAGGAGCUUGCUCCUCUGACGUUAGCGGCGGACGGGUGAGUAACACGUGGAUAACCUACCUAUAAGACUGGGAUAACUUCGGGAAACCGGAGCUAAUACCGGAUAAUAUAUUGAACCGCAUGGUUCAAUAGUGAAAGUCGGUUUUGCUGUCACUUAUAGAUGGAUCCGCGCCGCAUUAGCUAGUUGGUAAGGUAACGGCUUACCAAGGCAACGAUGCGUAGCCGACCUGAGAGGGUGAUCGGCCACACUGGAACUGAGACACGGUCCAGACUCCUACGGGAGGCAGCAGUAGGGAAUCUUCCGCAAUGGGCGAAAGCCUGACGGAGCAACGCCGCGUGAGUGAUGAAGGUCUUCGGAUCGUAAAACUCUGUUAUUAGGGAAGAACAAAUGUGUAAGUAACUAUGCACGUCUUGACGGUACCUAAUCAGAAAGCCACGGCUGACUACGUG